rnacentral:rRNA from 1 species
UGGGGAAUAUUGGACAAUGGGCGAAAGCCUGAUCCAGCCAUGCCGCGUGUGUGAAGAAGGUCUUCGGAUUGUAAAGCACUUUAAGUUGGGAGGAAGGGCAGUAAGCGAAUACCUUGCUGUUUUGACGUUACCGACAGAAUAAGCACCGGCUAACUCUGUGCCAGCAGCCGCGGUAAUACAGAGGGUGCAAGCGUUAAUCGGAAUUACUGGGCGUAAAGCGCGCGUAGGUGGUUCGUUAAGUUGAGUGUGAAAGCCCCGGGCUCAACCUGGGAACUGCAUCCAAAACUGGCGAGCUAGAGUAGGGCAGAGGGUGGUGGAAUUUCCUGUGUAGCGGUGAAAUGCGUAGAUAUAGGAAGGAACACCAGUGGCGAAGGCGACCACCUGGGCUCAUACUGACACUGAGGUGCGAAAGCGUGGCGAGCAAACAGG